rnacentral:lncRNA from 1 species
GGAGCUUCCAAAACACAGAGGAGCAACAGCUGUGCCGCAAACAAGCAAUCGAUAGCUUCAAAACAGCUCCUCGCUACAAUAAAAGGAUGUGUUCUUCCAUACCUCUCACUUGUAAAGAGCUCCCUUACUGUUAUUUUGCUGUUGGAGUUGCUCAUCAAUCCUGAGGAGCAUUGCUGCUGAAGCUGCUCCUGGCCCCUGCUAGGCAGAAGAGCCCUUGGGGCAGCGGGCAGGGCAGUGCUGUGCCGUGCUGGCUGGGGCCCAGCUGCAGCCGGAGCCGGAUCUGGAGGUGGCACAGCGCGAGGGCAGCGCUGCCAGCUGGCCAGGGCAGCUCUGAGCUCUGAACCCCGGUGUGCUGCGCCAGGCGGGGGGCUGGGGGGCAGCCAGCUUGCAGACAGCUUCAUUCUCCUCUCCCUCUGCCCGACAGCACGGCACGGGAGGCAGCCUGGCCUCGAGUUUUAAUCUGGACUCUUUGUUGGAGUGUAAAAAAAGAUCAUCCACCGUGACUUGACAUUUUGAGAUGCUCUUUUUUUAUUUUAAGUGAUUAAAUAUGAGAAGGAACUGAUACAGCCAGCUACAAAGUACCUGUACACAAAGCACCUAAAUCUGAACUUCUUACUGAAAUUUUGAAUGAGUGGGAAUUGGCUGCCAUUUGGAUUACAGGGUCAGGUCAAGCCUCGAGUGAAGUCCUGUGAUUGUAUAAAACUGAAGAUUGUCUGGCUCAGUGUGAUAAUGACUGCAAGGCUUACUGCUGUGAUGGGACUACUUCCUACUGCUGUUCAUAUUAUGCCUACAUUGGGAAUGUCCUUUCGUAAGUAUAUUUGCUCUUCAGAAAAGCUGAUGCACUGUGUUCAUGGACUUGAUGUAAACUCAGGUUGCUGGAAACUACAUUUUGGCAAGAAACAGUGGCAGGGUUUGGGUUCUUGGGGUUUUAGUUCUUUUUUUUUUCCUUGCUAGUAACAAAUAUUGUUAUUUCUGUAAAGUCUCACAUCACAUACCUUUUUGAAGCAUGCUUAUACCUAAAAAGCUUGCUAAAAUUGAGGGUUACAUCCUUAGAUUAUGUACUUUGAUAGAGCCUUUUGAAGCAAGCUGUAGAGAUACUGAGAACUUUGUUUCAAGCUCUUCAAGUGAAGAGGAACAGAAAGAUUUUUUUUUUUUUUUUUUUUGUUGUUGAAAUGCUUUGUUACAAUACCUGAGUCAAGCCACUAUUCAAAUGACUUGGAUUUGAGAUUUGGGUACUUUUUUUUUUUUCUUUUUACUUACUCGUUUGUU